UUCCUAUGUCAGAAAAUAGCCAAGGCCUAUUGACCUUAUUCCUAUGUGUUUCUGGAUCAAUCAAUACAAUUUCUGAAUCCUUAAAAUGUACAUUUUGGUGUCUUGAAGUUUCCUAUGACCUAUAGGCCUAGGGAAAUGCAUUCAUUUUGCAAUGUAUUAGCCUAUUUCUUAGGUCUAUAGAAUAUUUACUACACAAGUGAAAUAUCAACAUCAGUCAUGUCGAUUGUAUAGGAUUCCAGCGCCUUGACAGAUGCACACACACCACUGUGGUGACACGUCCCCUAUAUGACUAUCUCUGUCCCCACGUUGUGAUUCCCCUCCCCCACUCCACUUUACCGCGCAGAGCCAGAGAGGGAAAAUCACUUUCAUCUGGAGAAGCUCGUCCGGUAACACGGGGCGGCCCAUCUGCAGGUCCCCGCUGUUCCUAAAAGAAAGAUUAAGGAUUUGAGUUGGCCUGACGGAGAGAUCUUCCAGGCGACUCCGGCCCAUGGAGGAUGCAGAGCAUCACAUCAGAUCAAACAUUGAUAAACCAGUACUUUACCAGCGUUUUAUCAAUAUCUUUAAAGGACGGGGAGUUUUUGCCACUGAAUUCAUAUCCAAAGGAGACUUUGUUGUGGAGUACCGAGGUGAACUGCUUACACAACAGGAGGGCGAGGUCCGAGCUGAUCAGUACAAUGAUUCUGCAAAGGUGUUUCUUUUCGAUUUCCAAUGGAAAGGAAGAACAUGGUGCAUUGAUGCAUCUGAAGAAGACUCCUCCCUUGGGAGACUCGUUAAUGAUGAUCACUAAAGACUCAAUCUCAAAAUGAAGGCCAUACAAGCAAACGAUGAGCCACACUUGUGCCUCUUCGCGACUCGAGAUAUUGCAGCUGGCGAAGAGUUGACUUAUAGUUACGGUGAUUCAGACUGGCCAUGGAGAACACAGGUCAUCAAAACUGAUGUGUCGUCCAGCCCAAAACCU